GUAGGGAAUAUUGCGCAAUGGGGGAAACCCUGACGCAGCGACGCCGCGUGAGUGAUGAAGGCCUUCGGGUCGUAAAGCUCUGUUACAGGGGAAUAAAAAAAUGAAGGUACCCUGUGAGGAAGGAUCGGCUAACUUCGUGCCAGCAGCCGCGGUAAGACGAGGGAUCCUAGCGUUGCUCGGAAUCAUUGGGCGUAAAGAGGGCGUAGGUGGCUUGGUAAGUCAGGUGUGAAAGCCCAGGGCUCAACCCUGGAAGUGCAUUUGAUACUACUGAGCUUGAGUGUCGGAGAGGUUACCGGAAUACCUGGUGUAGUGGUGAAAUACGUAGAUAUCAGGUGGAACACCGGAGGCGAAGGCGGGUAACUGGACGAACACUGACACUGAGGCCCGAAAGCGUGGGGAUCAAACAGGAUUAGAUACCCGAGUAGUCC
rnacentral:rRNA from 1 species